UCCGGUUGAUCCUGCCGGACCUGACUGCUAUCGGAUUGACACUAAGCCAUGCGAGUCAUUGUAGCAAUACAAGGCAUACGGCUCAGUAACGCGUAGUCAACCUAACCUAUGGACGGGAAUAACCUCGGGAAACUGAGAAUAAUGCCCGAUAGAACAUUAUGCCUGGAAUGGUUUAUGUUCCAAAUGAUUUAUCGCCGUAGGAUGGGACUGCGGCCUAUCAGUUUGUUGGUGAGGUAAUGGCCCACCAAGACUAUUACAGGUACGGGCUCUGAGAGGAGUAGCCCGGAGAUGGGUACUGAGACACGGACCCAGGCCCUAUGGGGCGCAGCAGGCGAGAAAACUUUGCAAUGUGCGAAAGCACGACAAGGUUAAUCCGAGUGGUUUCUGCUAAAGAAACCUUUUGUUAGUCCUAGAAACACUAACGAAUAAGGGGUGGGCAAGUUCUGGUGUCAGCCGCCGCGGUAAAACCAGCACCUCAAGUGGUCAGGAUGAUUAUUGGGCCUAAAGCAUCCGUAGCCGGCUCUGUAAGUUUUCGGUUAAAUCUGUACGCUCAACGUACAGGCUGCCGGGAAUACUGCAAAGCUAGGGAGUGGGAGAAGUAGACGGUACUCGGUAGGAAGUGGUAAAAUGCUUUGAUCUAUCGAUGACCACCUGUGGCGAAGGCGGUCUACUAGAACACGUCCGACGGUGAGGGAUGAAAGCUGGGGGAGCAAACCGGAUUAGAUACCCGGGUAGUCCCAGCUGUAAACUAUGCAAACUCAGUGAUGCAUUGGCUUGUGGCCAAUGCAGUGCUGCAGGGAAGCCGUUAAGUUUGCCGCCUGGGAAGUACGUACGCAAGUAUGAAACUUAAAGGAAUUGGCGGGGGAGCACCACAAGGGGUGAAGCCUGCGGUUCAAUUGGAUUCAACGCCGGA
rnacentral:rRNA from 1 species